GGGGCGCUAGCUCAACUGGGAGAGCACUGUCAUGGCAUGACAGAGGUUAGGGGUUCAGUCCCAUGAAGUUUUAACGAAGAGGGAUUGGAUGCAAAGCAUCUGCGCUCCCUUGUGUCCCACCA
rnacentral:tRNA from 1 species